AUGUGGUGUUAUGAACCAGGCUGUGUUGUAAGGAAGGACCGGAAGUGAGGGAGUACGCAUGUCCUGUUGGAAGUGGGGCCUCUAUUGUAAAACAGG